GACGAACGCUGGCGGCGUGCUUAACACAUGCAAGUCGAACGGAAAGGCCCUGCUUUUGUGGGGUGCUCGAGUGGCGAACGGGUGAGUAACACGUGAGUAACCUGCCCUUGACUUUGGGAUAACUUCAGGAAACUGGGGCUAAUACCGGAUAGGAGCUCCUGCUGCAUGGUGGGGGUUGGAAAGUUUCGGCGGUUGGGGAUGGACUCGCGGCUUAUCGGCUUGUUGGUGGGGUAGUGGCUUACCAAGGCUUUGACGGGUAGCCGGCCUGGGAGGGUGACCGGCCACAUUGGGACUGCGAUACGGCCCAGACUCCUACGGGAGGCAGCAGUCGGGAACAUUGCACAAUGGGCGGAAGCCUGAUGCAGCAACCCCGCGUGCGGGAUGACGGCCUUCGGGUUGUAAACCGCUUUCGCCUGUGACGAAGCGUGAGUGACGGUAAUGGGUAAAGAAGCACCGGCUAACUACGUG
rnacentral:rRNA from 1 species